UACGUAGGGUGCAAGCGUUGUCCGGAAUUAUUGGGCGUAAAGAGCUCGUAGGCGGUCCGUCACGUCGGAUGUGAAAUUCCAGGGCUCAACCCUGGACCUGCAUUCGAUACGGGCGGACUAGAGUUCGGUAGGGGAGACUGGAAUUCCUGGUGUAGCGGUGAAAUGCGUAGAUAUCAGGAGGAACACCGGUGGCGAAGGCGGCUCUCUGGGACGGUACUGACGCUGAGACGCGAAAGCGUGGGGAGCGAACAGG
rnacentral:rRNA from 1 species